UGCAGUCGAACGGUAACAGGCCGCAAGGUGCUGACGAGUGGCGAACGGGUGAGUAAUGCAUCGGAACGUGCCCAGUCGUGGGGGAUAACGCAGCGAAAGCUGCGCUAAUACCGCAUACGAUCUAUGGAUGAAAGCGGGGGACCAUAAGGCCUCGCGUUUAUUGGAGCGGCCGAUGUCAGAUUAGGUAGUUGGUGGGGUAAAGGCUCACCAAGCCAACGAUCUGUAGCUGGUCUGAGAGGACGACCAGCCACACUGGGACUGAGACACGGCCCAGACUCCUACGGGAGGCAGCAGUGGGGAAUUUUGGACAAUGGGCGCAAGCCUGAUCCAGCAAUGCCGCGUGCAGGAAGAAGGCCUUCGGGUUGUAAACUGCUUUUGUACGGAACGAAACGGUCUGGGUUAAUACCUCGGGCUAAUGACGGUACCGUAAGAAUAAGCACCGGCUAACUACGUGCCAGCAGCCGCGGUAAUACGUAGGGUGCAAGCGUUAAUCGGAAUUACUGGGCGUAAAGCGUGCGCAGGCGGUUUUGUAAGACAGGCGUGAAAUCCCCGGGCUCAACCUGGGAAUGGCGCUUGUGACUGCAAGGCUGGAGUGCGGCAGAGGGGGAUGGAAUUCCGCGUGUAGCAGUGAAAUGCGUAGAUAUGCGGAG
rnacentral:rRNA from 1 species